UACGUAGGGGGCAAGCGUUGUCCGGAAUCAUUGGGCGUAAAGAGCGCGUAGGCGGUCCGGUAAGUCAGCUGUGAAAGUCAGGGGCUCAACCCUUGAAAGCCGGUUGAUACUGUCGGGCUAGAGUCCGGGAGAGGGUAGUGGAAUUCCCAGUGUAGCGGUGAAAUGCGUAGAUAUUGGGAGGAACACCGGUGGCGAAGGCGGCUACCUGGACCGGUACUGACGCUGAGGCGCGAAAGCUAGGGUAGCAAACAGG
rnacentral:rRNA from 1 species